CUUUGUGAUCUUCCACAGCUUUCUUGAACUGCAUCUCUAAGAGGAGCAGCUUGAACUCUCUACCUGCAUGAGCAGGUGCAGUUCAAUAAAGCUGUGGGAAACUGCAGAGA
rnacentral:pre_miRNA from 1 species